UACGGAGGGUGCAAGCGUUAUCCGGAUUCACUGGGCUUAAAGGGCGCGUAGGUGGGUUGGUAAGUCAGUGGUGAAAUCUCCGAGCUUAACUUGGAAACUGCCAUUGAUACUAUCAGUCUUGAAUAUUGUGGAGGUCAGCGGAAUAUGUCAUGUAGCGGUGAAAUGCUUAGAUAUGACAUAGAACACCAAUUGCGAAGGCAGCUGGCUAGACAUAUAUUGACACUGAGGCACGAAAGCGUGGGGAUCAAACAGG
rnacentral:rRNA from 1 species